rnacentral:misc_RNA from 1 species
GUAGGUGAACCUGCGGAAGGAUCAUUGGGGAGAUUGAUGAGUGGGGGGUUGAGGAGAGUUGGAAUGAGAAUGACAAAUUAUUAUUUAAUUCAACAAACAAACACAACUGCUGACAAUGGAUCUCUGGGCUCUU